GAGUUUGAUCCUGGCUCAGAACGAACGCUGGCGGCAGGCCUAACACAUGCAAGUCGAGCGAGGGGUAACCCUAGCGGCGGACGGGUGAGUAACGCGUGGGAACGUGCCCUUUGCUACGGAAUAGCCUCGGGAAACUGGGAGUAAUACCGUAUGUGCCCUUCGGGGGAAAGAUUUAUCGGCAAAGGAUCGGCCCGCGUUGGAUUAGGUAGUUGGUGGGGUAAUGGCCUACCAAGCCGACGAUCCAUAGCUGGUUUGAGAGGAUGAUCAGCCACACUGGGACUGAGACACGGCCCAGACUCCUACGGGAGGCAGCAGUGGGGAAUCUUAGACAAUGGGCGCAAGCCUGAUCUAGCCAUGCCGCGUGAGCGAUGAAGGCCUUAGGGUUGUAAAGCUCUUUCGGGGGGGAAGAUAAUGACUGUACCCCCAGAAGAAGCCCCGGCUAACUCCGUGCCAGCAGCCGCGGUAAUACGGAGGGGGCUAGCGUUGUUCGGAAUUACUGGGCGUAAAGCGCACGUAGGCGGACCGGAAAGUCAGAGGUGAAAUCCCAGGGCUCAACCUUGGAACUGCCUUUGAAACUCCCGGUCUUGAG
rnacentral:rRNA from 1 species